rnacentral:rRNA from 1 species
GACGAACGCUGGCGGCGUGCCUAAUACAUGCAAGUCGAACGCUGAAGGAGGAGCUUGCUUCUCUGGAUGAGUUGCGAACGGGUGAGUAACGCGUAGGUAACCUGCCUGGUAGCGGGGGAUAACUAUUGGAAACGAUAGCUAAUACCGCAUAAGAGUAGAUGUUGCAUGACAUUUGCUUAAAAGGUGCAAUUGCAUCACUACCAGAUGGACCUGCGUUGUAUUAGCUAGUUGGUGGGGUAACGGCUUACCAAGGCGACGAUACAUAGCCGACCUGAGAGGGUGAUCGGCCACACUGGGACUGAGACACGGCCCAGACUCCUACGGGAGACAGCAGUAGGGAAUCUUCGGCAAUGGACGGAAGUCUGACCAAGCAACGCCGCGUGAGUGAAGAAGGUUUUCGGAUCGUAGAGCUCUGUUGUAAGAGAAGAACGAGUGUGAGAGUGGAAAGUUCACACUGUGACGGUAUCUGACCAGAAAGGGACGGCUAGCUACGUG